rnacentral:snRNA from 1 species
GUGCUCAUUUUGGCAGCACAUGUACUAAAAUUGGAAUGAUACAGAGAAUAAUAGCAUGGCCCUGGGCAAGAAUGAUACGGAAAUUCGUGAAGCAUUCCACUAAAAA